rnacentral:rRNA from 1 species
AUUGAACGCUGGCGGCAGGCUUAACACAUGCAAGUUGAGCGGUAACAGAGAGAAGCUUGCUUCUCUGCUGACGAGCGGCGGACGGGUGAGUAAUGCCUAGGAAUCUGCCUAGUAGUGGGGGAUAACUUGCCGAAAGGUAAGCUAAUACCGCAUACGUCCUACGGGAGAAAGGAGGGGACCUUCGGGCCUUUCGCUAUUAGAUGAGCCUAGGUCGGAUUAGUUAGUUGGUGAGGUAAUGGCUCACCAAGACCGCGAUCCGUAACUGGUCUGAGAGGAUGAUCAGUCACACUGGAACUGAGACACGGUCCAGACUCCUACGGGAGGCAGCAGUGGGGAAUAUUGGACAAAGGGGGGAACCCUGAUCCAGCCAUGCCGCGUGUGUGAAGAAGGUCUUAGGAUUGUAAAGCACUUUAAGUUGGGAGGAAGAGCAGUUAACUAAUAUUUGACUGUUUUGACGUUACCGACAGAAUAAGCACCGGCUAACUUCGCG